AAUAGAUACCCUGGUAGUCCACGCCGUAAACGAUGUCGACUUGGAGGUUGUGCCCUUGAGGCGUGGCUUCCGGAGCUAACGCGUUAAGUCGACCGCCUGGGGAGUACGGCCGCAAGGUUAAAACUCAAAUGAAUUGACGGGGGCCCGCACAAGCGGUGGAGCAUGUGGUUUAAUUCGAUGCAACGCGAAGAACCUUACCUACUCUUGACAUCCAGAGAACUUGGCAGAGAUGCUUUGGUGCCUUCGGGAACUCUGAGACAGGUGCUGCAUGGCUGUCGUCAGCUCGUGUUGUGAAAUGUUGGGUUAAGUCCCGCAACAAGCGCAACCCUUAUCCUUUGUUGCCAGCGGUUAGGCCGGGAACUCAAAGGAGACUGCCAGUGAUAAACUGGAGGAAGGUGGGGAUGACGUCAAGUCAUCAUGGCCCUUACGAGUAGGGCUACACACGUGCUACAAUGGCGCAUACAAAGAGAAGCGACCUCGCGAGAGCAAGCGGACCUCAUAAAGUGCGUCGUAGUCCGGA
rnacentral:rRNA from 1 species